UACAGAGGUCUCAAGCGUUGUUCGGAUUCAUUGGGCGUAAAGGGUGCGUAGGCGGCGCGGUAAGUCGGGUGUGAAAUCUCAGAGCUCAACUCCGAAAUUGCACUGGAUACUGCUCUGCUUGAGGGUUGGAGAGGAGAUCGGAAUUCACGGUGUAGCAGUGAAAUGCGUAGAUAUCGUGAGGAAGACCAGUGGCGAAGGCGGAUCUCUGGACAAAUCCUGACGCUGAGGCGCGAAGGCUAGGGGAGCAAACGGG
rnacentral:rRNA from 1 species